rnacentral:rRNA from 1 species
ACGCUGGCGGCGUGCCUAACACAUGCAAGUCGAGCGCGAAAGUUCCUUCGGGAGCGAGUAGAGCGGCGGACGGGUGAGUAAUACGUGGGUAAUCUGCCCCCGAGCUCGGGAUAACACCGCGAAAGCGGUGCUAAUACCGGAUAAGACCACAUCACCCAGGUGGUGUGGUAAAAGGUGGCUUUAUUUUCGGAUGAGGCUAUCACUUGAGGAUGAGCCCAUGGCCUAUCAGCUUGUUGGUGAGGUAAAAGCUCACCAAGGCAAUGACGGGUAGCUGGUCUAAGAGGACGACUAGCCACACUGGGACUGAGACACGGCCCAGACUCCUACGGGAGGCAGCAGUGGGGAAUAUUGGGCAAUGGGCGAAAGCCUGACCCAGCGACGCCGUGUGGGCGAUGAAGGCCUUCGGGUUGUAAAGCCCUGUGAGGUGGAAAGAAGGGUCCAGAGGUUAAUACCCUUUGGACCUUGACGGUACCACCAGAGGAAGCACCGGCUAACUCCGUG